AGAGAGAGAGAGAGAGAGAGAGAGAAAAAAGUGUAUGGUGCAAAAUGCCUUAACGUACGAGCGUACGCUAUGGCAAGUUCGCAUGUUAUAACCCCAGAAAGGAAAUCUCGCAUGUUGUAAAAAACCAAAGAUCGCAUGUUAUAAAAAAAUCGCAUGUUAAAAAGAAAACCAAAAUCGCAUGUUCAAAAAAAAUUGCAUGUUGAUACUGCAUCUCGUACGCAGCGUACGUAAGGAAAUUUGUACAAUAACCGGCCUCUCUCUCUCUAUAUAUAUAUGUAUAUAUAAUGGAAGUAUUGGGAGAAAACCCUUUUAGUUGAGAAAACCUAGGAAACUCUAACCUCCGACAUUUUUUGCUUUUGAAAAAAAUCACACAUGUAAUAUACAUGUUUUUAAGAGUUUUGAGCAAAAAACAAAAAAAAAAAAAACAAAAACAAGAAAGUGCUGAGAGGAUAUUUAAAAAAAAAUAAACAAAUUUUGUUCAACGCGACUAUAACUUUAAGAGUUUUGAGCAUAAAAAAAAACGCCGAGAGGAUAUUUAAAAAAACUAACAAAUUUUGUGCAACGCGACUGUAACAUAUGUUACACAUGACUAUAACAUAUGUUACACAAAAACUUGUUUAUUUAAAAAAAAAUCUGGUCGGCGCAUUUUUUUUGCUCAAAACCCUUAAAAACAUGUAUAUUACAUGUGUGAUUUUUUUUCAAUAUAUUCUAAGUUUAUAUUGAUCAAACUGUAUCUGAACAGAUCCUUCAGAUGUUUGUAUAAUAUUUAUAGGAUUAUUAUCUAUAUAUUGUUGUUUCGGAGUACCAUUAUGUAAUACCCAAUUUUCUGGAAUAUUGGGAGGUUAGAGUUUUCUAGGCUUUCUCAACUGAAAGGGUUUCAUAUCCGGUUCAAUCAAGAACCACUUUGAGCUGUGAGAACUCCUACUUUCCGUGCAAGUUUUGCCACCAUUGUUUUCACAAACGUAGAUGAAAAUGUUACAAACAUAUCCGUAAAACAAAAAAAUUGUCGAGCCAGUAUUUAUGCUCCAUUCACACUUAUGUAAUUUUUUUACAAAACCAUGAUGUCACUAGUAUUUUUUUACAGCGACGUAAAUUUCAGUAGGCCACAUUUUUUUUAGUUUUCUGAAACAGUUGAUUUUUCUUUUAAUUUUUGGGAUUUUUUUUUUCGAAAAAACCUUUUGUAAGGCCUAGUUCACACUGUUCUCAGAACUCAAGGUGGUUCACAUUAUACCCUUUCCCUAUAUAUAUAUAACCUUUUGUAAGGCCUAGUCCACGUCCGUUUCCAGCCAUCCCAUAUUAAGAAGAGGAUCAAUGAAAUCAGCCACAAGUCUCAGGGGAGUCCUUUAUUUCUAUUUUCUUUUGUUAUUUGUUUGCGUUUCAGAAUUUCCUUGGGGACAAGCGUCGUUGACGCAAUGAAGGGGCGACAACCCGGUCAAACAUGAUAUUGUUGUGUGAAUUUUAGGUUUUUUUUAUAUGUUGUGUGAAUUUUUAAUAAAAUUUUAAGUUUUUUUUAUAUGUUGUGUGAAUUUUUUAAAAUUUUUGUAUUUUUUUCUUUUUAAUAAUCUGCCAACCACACGGUGCACCCACGCCCCACCAUGCCCCACGGACACGUCACUGGGCGGUGGGGGGCUCGAACUCCACGUGUCAACUCACGCCUCCAACCCAAGCCCCACCAUACCCCACGGUCUUACUAAGUGUGAUUUCCUUUUAUUUGGAUUUUAAAAUAACCAGUCUCAACACGACACUAAAAAAUUACGUUAUCCCCAAGGCGGAUAUAAUUGCUAGUCUAUAUAUAUCUAUAUUCCCAUGUACCAAAUAGUAAAUUCUCAUCAAAUUUUAAGAUGACAUGUGAAAAGCCAAGUUAAAAUACCAAUUUUUUACCCUUUUGUUCCAUCUUUACCCCCUGCACUCCUAUUCAUCUCAUCAGUUGUGAAGCAUUCAAUUUGAUUAUCAUUUUGUGCAAUUCAAUCGUUCCUCUUUCAAUUUCCACGUCCGUUUCCAGCCAUCCCAUAUUAAGAAGAGGAUCAAUGAAAUCAGCUACAAAGUUCCUGCUCGAUUUCUCAAUGAUCAACUCUGCUCUUCUCUUCUGCUGAUGAUUUAAGGUUUUGUUUGUAUUUCAAGAUAUGGUGAACAAUAGGGCUAAAUCCCCCAUCCUACAUGCUUUAUUUCUCCAGUAAUCUAGCUGUUCGAUUCAUGUAGAGCUUGGACUACGAGAGAAAGAUGUUAAGAUCAGGAUGUUGAUAUUGAGCCCUAAAUUAGUUCAUAAUUUUUCGAACAACCUACACCAGUGUCGUGAUUCCAGCAACCGGCCCUGUCUUUGCGUUGCGGAACCAGUUAGACAACUUAUGGAUGCAGGUUGGUGUCGGAAUUGGAGUUGGUCUUCUUGUUCGUACAUAUCAAUCUACCACCAGAAAUUUUCGAAGACGGCUUUUGUGUGGUGUUGAAAUAGGAGAAAAAUUACUUAUACACAGUGAUACGUGGUUGAAAACCGGUGUUCGUCAUUGCAUAACUUGAUGUUUUUACAUAGGUUUUAAACUCGGAUAGCCUACUUUUAAUCAAAUAUGUGUUUUGCAGGUUUGAUGAAGUUUAAGGAGCUUUUCGGGAGCUUUACGAGUCACCGGGUCGGAAACUGGAGCAUCGGGACGCGUUACCGAUCAACUGGGAGUGCAAGGAGCGAAAAAUGAGAAUCGAGUUUCAAGAGGCCGUCGCCGACUGAUGUGUGUAAAAUGCAACAUAUAAAUCACAUCAAUUAAGGCAUAAAACUAACCCUUUUUAAGUACUAAUGUUGGAAAAAGAGUGUUUUUGUCUUCCUUUUGUAUUUUCAGGAUGAAAUGAGCUCAAAAUCACAAAAGAAGCAAAAAGACAACUAAUUCUACCAUAAAUACAAGAAAAAGGAACAAAAGUGGACUGCCCGGACCCUCAACGGCACCUCCCAAGGCAAAGGAGAAGAAACAGAGUCUGAACACGCCCCGUGUCCAGCGAACACGGGGGCGUGCCCAGGAAGCAGCAGAAAAGACAAACCAGUAGAAGCUUCCAUUGCCCACCACGGGGCCGUGUCCAGCGAGCACGGGGGCGUGGUGAAAGUACAGCAGGCGCAUUAAUUGUAAUUCGCAAUUACAAUUAAUGAAGUGAGAGAAUGUCAGACGGGCACGGGGCCGUGUCCAGCGGACACGGGGCCGUGUCCAGCCUUCUGUUCAGCCUAUAAAUAGAGGAGCUUGGUUUCAUUCUCCCUCAUCCCUUGGCACACCACCUCUCUCACACCUCAUCCACCACCCAUCACCACCAUAACACCAUCAUCCACCACCAUCAUCCAUUGUCCAUCGUAGAGUGUGUGAGUCGUCUCGGGAUCCAAGAUUGAUCGUAAGAGUUCUUGACAAUCAAGGCCAUGUUUGCCUAAGUCUCUUACAUCACUUGGUGAAGACAAGUGUUUAGUAUAAUACUUUUUAUUUUUAAUCUUUUGCACUUUUUAUUUGGUUUUGUAUUAAUGACUUUAAUAACUAGUUACUUAUGUUGAAGGUGAUCUUUCCUUAUC